GCGGACGUGGCUCAGCGGUAGAGUAUUGGCUUCCCAAGCCGAGGAUCGCGAGUUCGAAUCUCGUCGUCCGCUCCA
rnacentral:tRNA from 1 species